UAGUGUGCAGUGGGGGAAGUUCUGUCGGACCAUCCACAAUAUUCAACAGUGGGCCGUGUGGACAGACGUCGACAAAAAGAUAUCCAUAUCUUUUAGAAACAGCAGACAGAGCUACCUGCUAACUGUAUCGUGGCAGGACAGACGAUGGGAACCAGACUUGUCUGUGACAUGAUUCAAAAUGAAAACAGUGUUGAUUUCAAAAUAGCCAGGAUACUCAGCAUAAACGAUGCAGCUGAUGGUUUUGGACAGUGUACUUCCAAAUGUUACUUCCAGUCUGACGUUUCCUUG